GGGACCUUUUAGUUCAGGUUCAGUCGUGUUCGUAACGUCGUCGAGUUGAAACCGAAAAAGCUAGGCAGUUUCUCACAGCUACAUAUACAUAUGAGCAGGCAGCAGCAGCAGCGGCAGAGCAGAGAGCAAAUCGGUGCAAUCUUGAAUACGGAAGUCUAAUCCAAUUUGGCCUAUGACAAUACAAACGCACUUUCUUCGCUACGCAUUGUCCAGGUGCGUGUGCGUAUAGAGAGAGCGAGCGAGAGGGAUAGCGGACGAGCAAGCGAGAGGUUAAAUAUUUAGGUUUAACAGCCAGGCGCGUGUGUGUGACCCAUGAGAAGUUGUUGAAAAUAAUCAACGCCAAUCGCCGGAGAACGAAAGCAGAGAAACCCCUACGCGCGCGUGUUUAAUUUGUAUUUUUGGCACUUUGGUUGGCAAACAGCAAAAGCAUUUCCCUAUGAUUGGCUCAUUCUGGAAUCUGUGCAGAGCGUGCCCAUCAAUGCCGGUAGACAAGCAGCUCCACUCGGAGUAUCGGAGCACUUAUCGCUGGCAUGAAUUUACGGGCAACUCGCGGCCAGAGGUUGUGCGACGGGCGCCUGCCCCAAACCCAAGUCAAUUUGUUGGAGCGACAAAUGAACCGCCAUUGCCGCGCCGGAAAAAAUGCCCAGAAUUAGCAUAUAAAUCGCACGAGUUCAUUAUAGGAUCGGAGUAUACAGAUGGACGCCGGGAUGCCAGUGCACAUCGUUUGGCGAGAUCGGAGGAGCGCGGUGGCACACCCUCGCGCCGCAGCAAAUCGGAGGGACCACCCGUUGUGCCCAAUGGACGUGCGUAUCCCAUUGCCACGGAGAUCGACGGAACCACAAGAAAACAGGCGGGUGAGUCAAAUGGGCUAUUGAAAAAGACCAUCAAUAAGUUGAGCACUGAGUACCGCCUGCAAUUCGUGUGGCCCACAGUCCGACGCAUAAAGGGCGGCGGCGAGGCGGCGUCUAGGGCCGCAGCCGGGGACUAUCCGAGAAAGUCCAUAUCGCUGGGCGUCCUUCGGUCCGGGGGCCAAGGUCACAGUCACACCCAAAACCAGAAUCAGAGUCAGAGUCUGACCCAAGCCCAGAAUGGUCACACACAUCACACGAUGAUGGGUGGCGGUGUGGGCUUGCCGACGGUGCAUAAAAAACGAACAACAAAUCAGAAAGAAGCUACUCUACAUGAGUUGGAGCCCUUGGUUAGCGAUACGGAUGAUAGAAAAACGCACGAGAAACAAGUGACCAUUGUGGAGCGCAAGAUCACCUCGCGUCCGUUUUCGCAGGCCAUCGACCAGGAGCGUCUGAACCACUUCAUCACGAAAAAGGAGAACUUUGGCUUCGCCGAUGCCGCCGUGGCCGCCGCGGCCCUUAAGGACGAGGUGGACAACAGGCAGCAAGUGGUGGUCAUGAACGGCUCCGCCCCGCCGCACUCGAAACCGAAUUUGGAUUUGUGGUUCAAGGAGAUGGUGGAGCUGCGCAAGAAGGCCGGCGAAUACAAGUGUCGUGGUUGGGGCAUAGAAAUUGACCCGGAAUUGUACAAGAAACAGAAGGAUCUAUGGGAUCAGGUUUCAAAGCGCAGCUCACUUUCGGCACUUUCUUUAGCUUCGUCUGUUCACAGACCCAUUACAAAGGAGGAGAAAGAACAGGAGAACAAUAAGAAGUCCACACCAUUGGAGAAGGCCCAGAAGCCUCGUGUUCCUGGCCAAGCCUUUUUGAUUGAUAAUAAGGAUGAGAUUUCAGCACUGCCAGCACGCUUUAGCAAUAUACGCCAUCAUCUUGAACGCACCACGGGUCCGGAUGUGGAAGAGGGCGCUUUAUUGCCCUCGCCCACGCGCGAGAAGUUGAUGCCGGCUAUUACCAAGCGGGAAUCGGAAUCCCAACGAGGAAGUCCUAAGAAAACCGCCUUGUCCAGGCAUGGAUCGCCCCAGAAGGGCAGUCCACAAAAGGGCAGCCCCAAGAAGGUCCUUAAAACCCGGUCGCAAUCGGCGGGUCCGGGCGUUGCUGAGAAUGAGUCACCGAAGCGGCAGAUCCGGUCGGCGAGUCAGGCGCCCAGCAGCCGUAAAAAGACGCCGACAACCGGAAGCGGAAGCGAACGCAAGGCACGCCCAUACGAAGGCGAGGAUGGUCGUGAGACUGCCAUUUCCAUUUCCAGCUGCAGUCCCCAACCCCCGGUGCAGGAGGUGCCCGAAGAGCCCCUGGUGAAGUCCCCACCAGAACCGACCCGGGUCAAGUCCCCAGAGCAGAUUAUAAUGCGCUCCCCCGAUCCAGUCAACUGGACGGUGCCCCUGGACACUGGCAAAACGUUUACGGUGACGCAGAAUGUUAAAGACGGGGAGAACUACAGCCGACCUCAGAGCGAGAUUAAAGCCUCGACACCGGUGGAGAAGCCCCCACCGCCACCACAAUCGGCUCCGCCACAACUAACCGAACAGGCUAAGAUGGACGCCUGGAAGUCCUGCAGUCCAAGCACCAGCGCCGCGAUCUACGGCAAAACGCUUACGCCCCAUGCCACACCCACCGGCCAGCCGGGCGGGGCGGUGCGCUGCACAGUCGCCCAAGAUCAGCCGCUUCAGCAGCCGGAUCCGGCGAUGUCGUCCUCCUCGUCGACGGGCACAGCUUCUACGGCCAGGACAGCUGCCGCCGAGGUCCUGGAGAAGGCUCGCGACCGAUUUGAUCGAUUCUGGGGCAACAGCAGCGCCAACAAGGAGGAGAGCGUCUAGAUCCCAGCUCCAAAAACCGAGAUCCUGGAUCCCAGAUCAGGCACUCAGUGCUUUUCAAGUGCAAAAUGUAUUCCCCGGGCAAUUAAUUGGCCCCUGAAAGCAAUUAUAAUACGUAAUAGAUGUUAUGCAAUACCUAAUCAUGUACACCAUCUAUCCUAUCUAAGAGCCUGAUUACACUGCAACACAGCUCUCCAUUUACAUUAAUUUACUGUAUGUAAUUAAAUCAAUUGGGUUUUUUCCUUAAUGUUUGAGUUCCAUUAUUAUUCGCACCUUUCAAAUUGAAUGUUACAUAUAAAAUCAGUUAUUAUUUUGAACCGUUACAUUCGAUAAAGUACCUUAGUAUUUUUUGUAUGUAUGAUAUUGUUAGUCAAUCCGAAAAUCAAUGGUGUUAUCCUUUUUUCUAUUAUAUUGUAAUUUUGGAUAAGUGUGUCGUAGUGAAAUCAAAACAUUAAGGGAGUCCCGCAAGAACUGGCUUGAAUUUGAAGCUAAAUUCGCUUUUGGUUUCCUAGUUAAGCUGCUGCAAGCAAACCUAAUCAGGCCAAAUGUCAUCUAACGACACGAGCAUUACACUAAAUUUAUUUAUGUAAGACACUUUCACUGCCUCAACCCAAACCGAAGACGAAACCGAACUCAAACCAAUGUUCUAUACUUUGAGAUACACCCAGAGAACUUUGCAAUAUUUCGAUAUCAUCCAGUCAUAUAAAAUAUUCAAAUGGGACAAACAUCACCGCAAAGACCCGUCCAAAAAGUGAGUCCAUUCGACAAGAGAUGUACUCACAUUUUUGUAGCUUUCAUUAAAUGAGCAACCGUAUACUUGGGUAAUGCAUAAGGUGAUCUAAGCUAAACUGCUGAUCCGUCAAAUACAAAAAAGUUGAAAAUAGAUUUUGCACAUGAACUACAAAGGGAAAAAUACCAAAAACGACAACAUGAUGUUAAGAAUAAUUUAAGAAAUACUUUGGCUAAUAAAAAUUUAAGGCAAGAGAUGAUUAAAACAUAGCAACACCCUACAGAAAACACCAGCAAAACAUACUAUUACUACACAAAAAAUGCGAAACAAUGAGAUUAUGCUUUGAAAAGCUGUGAAACUAGUUUCAGACUUGCCUACAAUUCUAAUACUCGUAUAACUAUUAUGUGAAUGUGAAAAUAGUUGACAAACAAAAAUGGAACAAAAUGGUCAAGCAAAAUGGAAAGACCUAAUCGAUUUAAUCAUGUUUUGAGUAAAAUUAGCGCUGAAUAAUUAAAACAAAUGCUUCCCGAAGGUCAAUAGCUUUGAGAAAGUUCAUGUUAUUUUAACAAGUAUUUUUUGGUUGGAUCUAGUUUUUCGAAUCUCUCAGUGUUGACAGUGUUUUAGUACAAACCAAAUACCGAUUCAAACUCAGUUUGGCAGAAACUUCGUUUGCGUAGGAGAAAUGCUUGAAUUUAUACCUUUCUUAGGAAUAAAUAAAAAAUACAAAAUCGCGUAAACUGAAGUUAAACUCCAUUACCCAUACGUUAUGUGAUUAACUUCAGUAUUGAGCUUACUUGUUGCUUGCCUAUAUAUAUUUUAAUAUAAAACUCAAAUAAACCAAACAAAAAAAUGAAGAAGAAAAUAACGCCACUUUAAUGGCAUUUAUUAAACAGUUGAGUAUUUUUAUAUGUUUUUCAUGAAUGGACCCGUUUGUUAAUUCAAAUCGAUGAGUUGAUCACUGAAUCUUAUAGUUAUCAAUUAGUCACAAUGCAUAUGGUCAAGAGCCCCUAAAACGCAAAAUCUUUAUUACGCUCAGUCUAAAAAUGGUCACCGAUUCGAUUCAAUCAAAUGCAUUAGUUAGAAAUAAAUAAGAAGCUAAACUAACUAAACUCUGGCAAUCUCAAAAACCUUAACAGAAGGACAAAUAAAUGAAAGAAACAGAAAAUGCACAUUCAUAUACAAAAAAAACUAUAUUUCCAGUUGCAAUUAAAGAAACACGGUAACCCAACUGAAUGGUAGACUCUUGAACUCAUUUAGUUUUAAAUAUCGUACUUAACAAAUUUUAGGCAACUUUAAUACGAAACUACUUAAGAACGAACUUGAUAUUAAUUCUAGCUUGUUUACAAAAGGAAAUAAAAUUAUUAACGAGACAAAAUACCAAA
rnacentral:misc_RNA from 1 species